GGAUGUGAGGGUGAUCUGGCUGAGACAUCUGUCACCCCAUUGAUCGCCAGUGUUGAUUCGGCUGAUCUGGCUGGCUAGGCGGGUGUCUCCUUCCUCCCUCACCGCUCUAUGUACUUCCCUGCUGAAGCUGUGUGCUCGGUUGGUCGAAGAGGACAGCCUUCCCAGAAUAGAGACUGGACGAAUCUUUGGUCGAGGGUAUAUGAGUAGCUGCGCUCCCCUGCUAGAACCUCCAAACAAGCUCUCAAGAAUCAGAUGUGCUUCUAGAUAAAAGGGUCCUUUGCUCUACUUAACCUACAAGUCUAGGAAACUAGGAAAUGAGCAAGUUACUCCUUAAUUU
ensembl:misc_RNA 7SK 7SK RNA